GAUGAACGCUGGCGGCGUGCCUAAUACAUGCAAGUCGAGCGAGCGGAUAAGGAGCUUGCUCCUUUGAAGUUAGCGGCGGACGGGUGAGUAACACGUGGGUAACCUACCUAUAAGACUGGAAUAACUUCGGGAAACCGGAGCUAAUGCCGGAUAACAUUUGGAACUGCAUGGUUCUAAAGUAAAAGAUGGUUUUGCUAUCACUUAUAGAUGGACCCGCGCCGUAUUAGCUAGUUGGAAGGCAACGGCUUACCAAGGCAACGAUACGUAGCCGACCUGAGAGGGGCAUCGGCCAAACUGGAACUGAGACACGGUCCAGACUCCUACGGGAGGCAGCAGUAGGGAAUCUUCCGCAAUGGAUGAAAGUCUGACGGAGCAACGCCGCGUGAGUGAUGAAGGUUUUCGUAUCGUAAAACUCUGUUAUUAGGGAAGAACAAAUGUGUAAGUAACUGUGCACAUCUUGACGGUACCUAAUCAGAAAGCCACGGCUAACUACGUGCCAGCCGCCGCAGUAA
rnacentral:rRNA from 1 species